AUUGAACGCUGGCGGCAGGCCUAACACAUGCAAGUCGAACGAGUGGCGGACGGGUGAGUAAUGUAUGGGAAACUGCCCGAUUGCGGGGGAUAACUACUGGAAACGGUAGCUAAUACCGCAUACCAUCGGAUGUGCCCAGAGGGGAUUAGCUCGUAGGUGGGGUAACGGCUCACCUAGUCGAAGAUCCCUAGCUGGUCUGAGAGGAUGACCAGCCACACUGGAACUGAGACACGGUCCAUACUCCUACGGGAGGCAGCAGUGGGGAAUAUUGCACAAUGGGCGCAAGCCUGAUGCAGCCAUGCCGCGUGUAUGAAGAAGGCUUUCGGGUUGUAAAGUACUUUCAGUGAGGAGGCGUUACUCGCAGAAGAAGCAACGGCUAACUCCGUGCCAGCAGCCGCGGUAAUAC
rnacentral:rRNA from 1 species